UACGAAGGGGGCUAGCGUUGCUCGGAAUCACUGGGCGUAAAGCGCACGUAGGCGGGCUCUUAAGUCGGUGGUGAAAUCCCGAGGCUCAACCUCGGAACUGCCUCUGAUACUGGCGAUCUUUGAGUCCGGGAGAGGUGAGUGGAACUCCGAGUGUAGAGGUGAAAUUCGUAGAUAUUCGGAAGAACACCAGUGGCGAAGGCGGCUCACUGGCCCGGUACUGACGCUCAAGUGCGAAAGCGUGGGGAGCAAACAGG
rnacentral:rRNA from 1 species